GUGUAACGGGUUAUAUUACUUAUAAUUUAGUUCUUCACUUUUAUGGACCAAUUAGGAAAAUCAGAAGAUUCGUAUGAUCGACUACGGAGGUAGAGGGUAAUUGCUGAAGGAACGACAGGAGACCACAAUUAAGUGUCCGAAUAGGUUGGCUCGCCAUCAAAGAAAAUCAAUCUCCCCUCAGGAAAAAAACCUGACCUGUUUAAAAGGUCAGAAAUGCAUGACUGCAUUUAGUCAACAAUAGCAUCACAUCAGGCACGUGUAUAUUACCCCGACAUGCACGUGAAGCGUGCACGUGAAAAAGAACGACACCACAUGAGAACAACUGAACAGCGCUACGAAUUUGUACCAUAAUAUCCAAAGAUACAACAUAAAUCACACAUAUGACCAUAAUAAACAAAAUAAACAACUUCUUUCCUUACAAAAUAAGUGUUGUUUUCUUAUUUAAACAUUAAACUCAGCAUACUUGCAUAAAUUGA